CUCGUAGUUGGACCUGUGUUCCACGCUGUCGGUUCGCCGCCCGUCGGUGUCAACUGGCAUGUCCUGUGGAACGUCCUGCCGGUGGCGGUCCGGGCUUUCGGCUUGCGUAAGGGCUCACGCCCGAAGCAGGUCGGACAGUACCGGCCGCCGGUCCAAUCCCGCCACGGUGCUCUUCACCGAGUGUCGAGGUGGGCCGGCACGUUUACUUUGAACAAAUUAGAGUGCUUAAAGCAGGCUGGUGUCCGCCUGAAUACUGUGUGCAUGGAAUAAUAGAAUAGGACCUCGGUUCUAUUUUGUUGGUUUUCGGAACCCGAGGUAAUGAUUAAUAGGGACAGGCGGGGGCAUUCGUAUUGCGACGUUAGAGGUGAAAUUCUUGGAUCGUCGCAAGACGAACCUAAGCGAAAGCAUUUGCCAAGUAUGUUCUCGUUAAUCAAGAACGAAAGUUAGAGGUUCGAAGGCGAUCAGAUACCGCCCUAGUUCUAACCAUAAACGAUGCCAGCCAGCGAUCCGCCGAAGUUCCUCCGAUGACUCGGCGGGCAGCUUCCGGGAAACCAAAGCUUUUGGGUUCCGGGGGAAGUAUGGUUGCAAAGCUGAAACUUAAAGGAAUUGACGGAAGGGCACCACCAGGAGUGGAGCCUGCGGCUUAAUUUGACUCAACACGGGAAACCUCACCAGGCCCGGACACCGGAAGGAUUGACAGAUUGAGAGCUCUUUCUUGAUUCGGUGGGUGGUGGUGCAUGGCCGUUCUUAGUUGGUGGAGCGAUUUGUCUGGUUAAUUCCGAUAACGAACGAGACUCUAGCCUGCUAACUAGGCGAUUCCGGUACCCACAAUAGUGUUACCGGCGAUUCAAUUUCUUCUUAGAGGGACAGGCGGCUCCUAGCCGCACGAGACUGAGCAAUAACAGGUCUGUGAUGCCCUUAGAUGUCCUGGGCCGCACGCGCGCUACACUGAAGGAAUCAGCGUGUCUUCCCUGGCCGACAGGCCCGGGUAACCCGUUGAACCUCCUUCGUGCUAGGGAUUGGGGCUUGCAAUUGUUCCCCAUGAACGAGGAAUUCCCAGUAAGCGCGAGUCAUAAGCUCGCGUUGAUUACGUCCCUGCCCUUUGUACACACCGCCCGUCGCUACUACCGAUUGAAUGAUUUAGUGAGGUCUUCGGACUGGUGCGCGGCGAUCGGUUUAUACUGCCGGCCGCCGAUGUUGCCGGAAAGAUGACCAAACUUGAUCAUUUAGAGGAAGUAAAAGUCGUACAGGGUUUCC
rnacentral:rRNA from 1 species